AUACUGGGAGCUGUUACUGGUUUGUACUGGGAGCUGUUACUGGUUAUACUGGGAGCUGUUACUGGUCUGAACUGGUUUGUACUGGGAGCUGUUACUGGUUAUACUGGGAGCUGUUACUGGUCUGUACUGGUCUGUACUGGUCUGUACUGGUCUGAACUGGGAGGGAACUGGGAGAGGCCCGACAUUCCUGAGGCCAGGAGUGCCCUGACCGGCCGGACUGGGAGAGACUGGGAUGAACUGGGAGGGACUGGGAUGAACUGGGAGGGAACUGGGAGGGGAUUGGGACAAACUGGG
rnacentral:lncRNA from 1 species